UAAUGGCGCUUAACAUAAACACCAACACUUUGCACACAUAGUGCAGAGUGCAUUCGGCAUCUUUUCUUGCACACAAACACAGCCCUUCUGGGUGCUGUUUUCCGGUGCAAUGCUAAGACGUGCCAAGUCACACAGCUUGUGCAGCAGGGAGGUCCGCAAAGCCAGAGGGAGAUGGUACGUGACAGAGAGCAGGCCGUGCAUGGAUGUUUGUACGAGUUGUUUGGGAGUUCAAACGGAGCCGUGUUACUGAUUACGUGAACCUGUACAUACUGAAUGUACAUGAAGGCUCCUACUCCGGCUAAACUGAUCGUCACAAAUCUACUGGCCAACAUGGACUCUGCAGAAAAAGAAUGCCCCCACUCUUCGCUCACUGGCUUUGGACAGGCUCUCGAUAAUGAUCCCGCCCUCUCCUAAUUCACCGGGGAGUCGGACUGCUCCGAAAAGUUUCUUCAUCAGUGCUCAUCAGUUUUUGAUCAACAGCUUUUAUAGUGAGCCUGCUAUCUGACGAAGCUGUUGCAUUGGCUGUGGCAGCUAGCAGAGAAGCAGGCAGCCACCUGCUAUGGAUCAGAGUGCGGUCAAGAGAACAUGGAUCCCGACCACAUGUCAACCAGCAGGUUUCGCUGCCGUCGACUCCCCUGAGACACUGCGCGUCAACACACCCGUGGAGACACACCUCCGACUAUCAGAUACUCUGAGAUGAAAGCAAGCAGCAGUCACCGUCCUCAGCAAGCAUUGGCGACUCCUGCCAGUCAUCUGGUGCUGCUGCUCUGCUCACGCCGAUAGCUACAUGCGAGCAUAAACAAGAAAAAUAGGUUAAAUUAAAUCAAACACAUGUCUUUGCUAAACGGACAGCCACCACAUGCAGGACAUCUAACAUCUGUAAAGACCAAGUCCUGCAAGACGAUGUUGUUCAUAUCACCACGGCUGAUAUGUCUCACAUUACCUUGAAGAGGCACAAUCACAGCAAGGAUGAACCAACUUUACUGGAGCAUCAAGUUGCAACUACGGACUAAAUGUGAAUCGAUUUAGCUUCCUGGAUAGAGUUGGACAUCUGUAAGUAAUCACAACGAGCUAGGGUCGCAUUGUACCAAAAAAAGAGAUCAGCAUUGUCAUCUGAAAAAGGUAAACAAACUUGUUUGUUUCAUCAACUAUUUCAACUAAAGAAGAGUAAAUGGUGAUCUAUGUUAGGUUGUUUGUGAGUGUGUUACUACAUUAUUGAUUAAUAACUGUACUUUGUUUGCCAGUAUAUUACAAACUGCAAAGACUUUCCAAAUGUGCACUUAAUUUUUUAAAUAAAUAAAUAAAUGGGUUGUACUUGUA